CCUACGGGAGACAGCAGUGAGGAAUAUUGGUCAAUGGUCGGGAGCCUGAACCAGCCAAGCCGCGUGAGGGAGGAAUGUCCUGAGGAUCGUAAACCUCUUUUAUCAGGGAACAAAGUCGGGCACGUGUCCCCGUAUGAGUGUACCUUAAGAAAAAGCAUCGGCUAACUCCGUGCCAGCAGCCGCGGUAAUACGGAGGAUCCGAGCGUUAUCCGGAUUUAUUGGGUUUAAAGGGUGCGUAGGGGGGAUGUUAAGUCAGCGGUGAAAGCACGGGGCUCAACCCCAGAACUGCCGUUGAAACUGGCAGUCUUGAGUUGGAGAGAAGUAGGCGGAAUGCGUGGUGUAGCGGUGAAAUGCAUAGAUAUCGCGAAGAACUCCGAUUGCGAAGGCAGCAUGCCGGCUCCACACUGACGCUGAGGCACGAAAGCGUGGGUAUCGAACAGGAUUAGAUACCCGAGUAGUC
rnacentral:rRNA from 1 species